rnacentral:misc_RNA from 1 species
UCCGCCGGGUGGAGGCGUCGUCCUCGGUGCCCAACCAUGUCCCCUCCACCUAACCUUCUCAUCCGUGGCGGUGCAUCGCGGCUCGAGAAGGAGCAUGCCAGUCAGUCGGUUUUUAUCCAGCGGACGGGACGGUGCGUGGCGGUCUGGUGCGAGUGGCAGCGGGUUCAUACGAUCGGACAGUACGAACCGUCCCUGGCUGCGUUCGUGAAACGGAAAAAAAACAUCUACGGAUCUUAACGGUCUCAGGGACUCGGAGAAGGCGUAUCGUGCGCGCGUGUCGAUCCCUGAACGAUCAAGUGUGUACGAAGUCCUCGUGGCCAGGAAGGAUCGAAGCUACCAGCAGAGGUGCAGCGGUCGGCCAUUGCGCUUUCUUCGUGUCGCCGUUACGACCGCACGGUGCUCUGCUAUCGAAUGUACAUCAGGGAUCGAUGUAAAGAGGAAUACAUUAAACGCUUCACGGAGCGGCAUUCACACGAAAGGAAACUGGAAAUUUACAAAUAGAAAGGUAUUCGUCAAAAGCACCUUGUAUACAGAACAUAAAAUCUCGAUCCGUUUGCUAGAGCGAAGAUUAAAUUCGUGUUUCGAAUACACGGAAUUACAACGGUUUUUCUGUAUUCCAUUGUACUUCGAUACCGGUAAUACCACUGUGAGAUUCAAUGGAGAGAAAGGAAGAAAUCUGUGGGUGAUCAGUCUUUCGACAUUCACGAAUCGACGAUCGAAGACACGAUCUGUAAAGAGGAAUCUAGCGGAUGCGCAGGCAUCUCCCGCGCCGUCGUUAAAGUGAAAGGCGCCUUGCUAUGUGCAUACGAGUGUCGUGUUUGUACGUGAAUCCGCAGAACACACGUGACAUUUUUAUGAUGGCAUGCUAACGUGUCACUAGGACCUGCUGUGGUAACGAUUAUUGGAAGCAAUCGUUAGCGUGUCUUGUGCACGAUCUCCUCUGCUAUUUAAAGAGGACAACACGAAGUAUUGUCAAUUCAAAGAAAGAAGUACACGAAUAACGACGAAUCAUAACGACAUUUGUGAUUACAAUUAUAGUCUUUCUUCUCUUAACGUGAAUGCGUGUUACAAUUGUGUAUCAUCUUCAGUCACGGGAUAAGAAAAAGAGUAAGAUAGAAAGGUUACACAACAUAUAAAACAAGACGAGCGCUGAGCAUUCUGAUUGUUUGGUUCCGUAACGACUUACCGAUUGCCGCAUCUCCAUGAAGCUUCAUUUAAUACGUUUCUUUUUUGUGGAUCAGAGAGAAUUACGGUGCGAACACACGUAAAUGCAACGAUUCACCAUUGAUACGGAAGAAGUUCGCUGGCACAAGUGUUUUUCGAGAAACCUGCUCCUUGACCCUGGGAUUACCGUGGAUCAAGGAAAUCAAGAUAAAGUGUGACAAGUGAAAAGUCCGGUUUCGUGUAACUCGUUUGCGUGCUUGCUAUACAUAUAUCCCGUGGCGCGCGGGAAACGUCGGCUUUUGACCGACAGAGGGGGCCAACGAACUCGAGUUCGACUCGAUAGGUGGUUCCUACGGUGUCAGCGCGAAACGGCGGGACUUACGCCGGACAACCUCGAACCUCAAACUCGAGUUGAGUCGAUCAAGCCGUCCAACAGCUUGUCGGCGUCCUUCCUGUUGUCCUUGGUCCUCGGUGAAGGGGGACUGAUCGGCCCUGGUGGUGUCCUGGGGCCGCAGAUGGGAGCUGGUCUACUGGAGCCCGACAGGGUGAUCAACCCCGUAAAACGACAUCAGCCGUUCCAACUUCCGCUCGAGGCCUACACUCUUCCCCUUCUUGCUCGUCGCUCACCAGGUUUCUCCCCGUUGAUUCGGCCGCAUAAACUCGAUCAAGCUGGAAUUGAUGGAGUUGGAGAACAUUGUAGCAAACACUGUGUAUCUCAAAGCGAGAGAAGGCGGUGGUGACAGCAACAAGGGUAAGAGUAAAAAAUGGCGGAAGAUACUCCAAUUCCCGCACAUUUCCCAAUGCAUAGGCCUAAAAGAUAAAUUGGACAUCAGGUACAGCUAUGUGGUGGAUCAGCAACCGAUUGGUAGGCUGUUGUUCAGGCAAUUCUGCCAGGACAAGAAACCAUCCUACCAUCGGUACAAUCUCUUUUUGGACGCCAUCGAGAAAUACGAGAUCGAGAUGGAUGAGAAUCGGACUGAGCUGGCCAAGGACCUGUUCGAGCAAUACCUGAAGAGAGAGGGCUCAGAGGUCGUCGACAUCCUAAACGAUUCUUUGAUCGCCCAGUGUGAGGAGAGGCUCAGCACUGGCGGCAAGGAGCUCUUUGUGGAGAUCGCGCAGACCGUGAAAAACUUCCUCGCUGGCGAGCCUUUUUCAGCUUUCCAAACCAGCUUUUAUUUCUAUAGGUAUCUUCAAUGGAAAUGGUUAGAGGCUCAACCAGUCACGUACAAGACCUUCCGUAUGUACAGAGUGCUGGGAAAGGGUGGGUUUGGUGAGGUAUGCGCUUGUCAAGUACGAGCAACAGGAAAAAUGUAUGCGUGCAAGAAAUUGGAAAAGAAACGGAUCAAAAAACGAAAGGGAGAAGCCAUGGUACUCAUAGAGAAGAAUAUAUUGCAAAAGAUCAACUCUAAAUUCGUCGUGUCCCUAGCGUAUGCCUAUGAGACCAAGGAUGCAUUGUGUCUAGUUCUGACAAUUAUGAACGGUGGAGACUUGAAGUUUCAUAUUUAUAACAUGGGCGGUGAGCCUGGUUUCGACAUCAAUCGUGCCAGGUUCUAUGCAGCCGAGGUGGUCUGUGGCCUGGAGCAUUUGCAUUUACAAGGAAUAGUUUAUAGAGAUUGUAAACCAGAAAAUAUUCUGCUAGAUGAUCAUGGCCAUGUAAGAAUAUCUGAUCUUGGUCUGGCUGUGGAGAUCACAGAGGGAGACAUGGUGACAGGAAGAGUUGGUACAGUUGGAUAUAUGGCACCAGAAGUGAUUGACAAUGAGAAGUAUACAUUUUCACCUGAUUGGUUCAGUUUUGGAUGUCUUCUGUAUGAGAUGAUAGAGGGUCAAGCUCCGUUUCGUGCAAGGAAGGAAAAGGUGAAGCGGGAAGAAGUGGACAGGAGGGUAAAAGAAGAUCAAGAAAGGUAUUCUGCCAAGUUUACCGAGGAGGCGAAGAGUUUGUGUCAGCAAUUAUUAAAAAAGAGCCCGAAGAACAGACUGGGUUGCAAGUGCGGUAGACAUGGCGCCAAGGAAGUAAAGUUGCAUAACUUCUUUCAGUGUUUAAACUGGAAGAGGGUCGAGGCCGGUAUGUGGGAACCACCGUUUGUGCCGGAUGUGACCUCAUGCGGUGUAUGCUAAAGAUGUAUUGGACAUUGAGCAAUUCUCUACAGUGAAAGGUGUCAAUUUGGACGCCACUGAUGAUACCUUCUAUAGCAAAUUCAAUACUGGUAGCGUGUCUAUCCCAUGGCAAAACGAGAUGAUAGAGACUGAGUGUUUUAAGGAACUGAACGUGUUAGGUCCUAACAACACACCUACUCCUGAUCUAUUGAUCAAUCAUCCACCACCAAAUAACGAAAAUAGAGGCUGCUUUCCAUUUCGAAGACAG